UACGGAGGGUGCGAGCGUUAAUCGGAAUUACUGGGCGUAAAGCGUGCGCAGGCGGUUCGUUAAGUUCGUUGUGAAAGCCCCGGGCUCAACCUGGGAACUGCAAUGGAAACUGGCGGGCUUGAGUGUGGCAGAGGGGGGUGGAAUUCCGCGUGUAGCAGUGAAAUGCGUAGAGAUGCGGAGGAACACCGAUGGCGAAGGCAGCCCCCUGGGCCAACACUGACGCUCAGGCACGAAAGCGUGGGGAGCAAACAGG
rnacentral:rRNA from 1 species